GAAAAGCCCGGCCAGGGGCUGCUGAGGUGAACUGAUGGGCUGCGGCCCCGCCCACCCUGGGCAGCUGUCCAUGAGAAGGCCUCUUCAGAGCCAUCGGUCAGCGUGGUGCUGUCCCACCUCUCCUGUUGCUCUCAGCCUCUGGAAGAGGAAGCCCCAGGCUGGUGAAGCACCCGACCUAGGAAGUCCCUGCCUGGACCCUGCCUCUGCUCACCCCAGACCACAUCAUCGUCCCCCAGUCCUCAGGAGUCCCU